rnacentral:rRNA from 1 species
UACGAAGGGGGCUAGCGUUGCUCGGAAUCACUGGGCGUAAAGCGCACGUAGGCGGAUUGUUAAGUCGGGGGUGAAAUCCUGGAGCUCAACUCCAGAACUGCCUUCGAUACUGACGAUCUCGAGUCCGGGAGAGGUGAGUGGAACUCCGAGUGUAGAGGUGAAAUUCGUAGAUAUUUCGGAAGAACACCAGUGGCGAAGGCGGCUCACUGGCCCGGUACUGACGCUGAGGUGCGAAAGCGUGGGGAGCAAACAGG